GUCUGCCAAUUGCAAUGUGAUUUUUGUAAGCUUUAAUUCUCCUAUCUCCAGUUUUUCAUAGUAAGAUGUUCACACUAGCUCCUAAGUCUAAUAAGGCCCUAUCGUUGAUGAUUUCUCCAAUGACACAAGAGAUUGUAGGAGAUCCUAGAUCUUUGUAAUUGAUAGGCAUGUGGCUCGAAAGAUAUGAGCUCACGCUACCAAUCAACAAAGCUUUCUUGAAAAUGUUGGUAGUUUUCUUCUUUAUGCAUAGGUCUUUG
rnacentral:lncRNA from 1 species